rnacentral:rRNA from 1 species
AUGCUCCAUCAACUCGAGGCCAAUGCCAGGCUUCGAGAGGAGGAAGCCAUGAAAAUGCAGCAGGCCCUAUUUCAACAGCAAGAAUUCAUGGUUAAACAACAGGCAAUCCUGCAGGAGACAUUUGCUCAACUCAGAAAUAAUAUGCAGGGUUCCACUUUGCCCGUUCUUCCUCCUCUUCCGACUCUUCCUAAUUUCAACUUUUUUUCUCAGUCGGGACAAGGCUCCAAUAACUGUGUGGUAGGUGGAUCUUCACCUGGACAAGCAAGUCCAGUGACACCCACUACGGUUCAUGUUGCUUCGACCUCCCCGCAACACUGA